rnacentral:misc_RNA from 1 species
AAGUCGUAACAAGGUUUCCGUAGGUGAACCUGCGGAAGGAUCAUUAAGAAACUGAGGGGGCGCGAAAGCGUCUUCCCUCUUUCCUAACCACUGUGAAACGACCGGUUGCUUCGGCAGCUUGGAUCCUUCUGGGUCCAGUCAGCCUGCCGGCGGCACCAAUCGAAACCAUUUUUUGUAACUGUCGUCUGAAACACGAAACUAAUCGUUAAA